GCUCGUAGGUGGUUUGUCGCGUUGUUCGUGAAAUCUCACGGCUUAACUGUGAGCGUGCGGGCGAUACGGGCAGACUUGAGUACUGCAGGGGAGACUGGAAUUCCUGGUGUAGCGGUGGAAUGCGCAGAUAUCAGGAGGAACACCGGUGGCGAAGGCGGGUCUCUGGGCAGUAACUGACGCUGAGGAGCGAAAGCGUGGGGAGCGAACAGGAUUAGAUACCCUGGUAGUCCACGCCGUAAACGGUGGGUACUAGGUGUGGGUUUCCUUCCUUGGGAUCCGUGCCGUAGCUAACGCAUUAAGUACCCCGCCUGGGGAGUACGGCCGCAAGGCUAAAACUCAAAGAAAUUGACGGGGGCCCGCACAAGCGGCGGAGCAUGUGGAUUAAUUCGAUGCAACGCGAAGAACCUUACCUGGGUUUGACAUGCACAGGACGCCGGCAGAGAUGUCGGUUCCCUUGUGGCCUGUGUGCAGGUGGUGCAUGGCUGUCGUCAGCUCGUGUCGUGAGAUGUUGGGUUAAGUCCCGCAACGAGCGCAACCGUUGUCUCAUGUUGCCAGCGGGUAAUGCCGGGGACUCGUGAGAGACUGCCGGGGUCAACUCGGAGGAAGGUGGGGAUGACGUCAAGUCAUCAUGCCCCUUAUGUCCAGGGCUUCACACAUGCUACAAUGGCCGGUACAAAGGGCUGCGAUGCCGCGAGGUUAAGCGAAUCCUUUUAAAGCCGGUCUCAGUUCGGAUCGGGGUCUGCAACUCGACCCCGUGAAGUCGGAGUCGCUAGUAAUCGCAGAUCAGCAAC
rnacentral:rRNA from 1 species